AGCAGGCACUGAGAAGCCAAGUCAAACUCUGCCUGAGGAGCUGUUCUGAUAACUAAGCACCAUGGGGCCAUAGGGCCUGACCACUUCUGCUCAGCCUAAGUCUUCUGUAAUGAACAAUCUUUGCUCUGAAGAUCCCUAUUGGAUCGUCUGGACUUCACCAGGCCUACAUUGUGGUUUGAAUCUCUUCAGCUGAGGCCAGAUCCUAGAGACACUGCAGCUGGAGGCACUCUGCAUGCUCUACAGAUAAGCAACAAGUUCUUUUCUGAUGUGAGAUCAACAGUCAACACAGAAGAUCGCUGUGGCCAAAUGUGUAAUAGUUGCUCCCUACACACCAACCAAGCAAUCAGUUCUGCAGCAGACAGCAGCUGGGUGUCCUCCAAUUCAAUUUCAACACUCUACCUGGAAACUGCAUCAGAUCCCACAGGUUGAGGUCUCAGUCUCACAAGACUGCCCCUACUCCCCACCUCCCGUCCCCAUCAUUGAGUUAUCAGUUGCAAGUCCAGCCUCCAGAACGUCUGAGUGACUGGUUUCAAGGUAUUACCAGCUGAUGAGGCUGACGGCCAGGAGAUACACAAAUAAACAGCUGUAGGUCUCCCAGUCCAAUUUCAAAGUCAUGUACAGGAGACGCUCCUACUUCAUCUGGCCCCAUGGAGCUGGCUUCGUAGGAUGAAACUGUAAUGCACCAAGAAGUAAAGGAACAAUUGGGUUUCAUGACUUUAAAAGUCCAACAUUGGGAAGAAGUGCCAUGGCCAUUUAAUGUGGAAAGAACAGACUUUUAUCAAGUGAUGCUGGGAAAAAUGGAUAUCCACAAGCAAGAGAAUUAACUUGGACCUCUCUGCCUUACACCAGACAUGAAAAUUACUCAAAAUGGAUCAAAGACCUAAAUGUAAGUGCUAAAACUACAAAAGUCAUAGGAGAAAACAUAAGUAAACUUUUGUCACUUUGAAUUAUGCAACGGUUUAUUAUAUGUUACAACAAAAACACAAGAAACCAAAGAAAGAAGUUGGGCUUAAUUAAAAUAAAAAACUUUUGUGCUUCAAACAACACUAUCACGAAAGUAAAACAAUAACUUACAGAAGGGGAGAAAAUAUUUGUAUGUUAUUUAUCUGAGAAAACUUUAGUACUAGAAAAUAUAGGGAGCUAUUAUAAUUCAGCAAUAAAAAAGACAACACAAUUUUAAAUGGGCAAAGGAUUUGAAUAGCCUUUUCUCCAAAGAAGAAAUACAAAGUCCUAGUAAGCACAUGAAAAGAUGCUCACCAUCUUUAGGGAAAUGCAAAUUAAAUCCAUAUGGAGAUACCCUCUCAUACCUACAAAGAUGGUUAAAAUAACAAAAAUAACAACAAGUAUUAGUGGAGACACAGAAUCAUUGGAAUCCUCAUACACGGCCAGAAGGAAUGCAAAAUGGUGUAGCCACUGUGGAAAAAGUCUGGCAGUUUUUCAAAAGGUUAAACACAGAGUUACCAUAUGGCCCAGCAAAUCCAUUCUUAACUCCAUACCCAAGAGAAAUGAAAAUAUUUUGUCUACACAGAAACCAUUACACUAAUGUUUAUAGCAGCAUUAUUCAUAAUAGUCAAAAAAUGGCGACAACCCAAAUGUUCAUCAGUUCACACAUGGAUACACAAAAUGUGCUAUAUCAAUACAAUGAAAUAUUAUUUGGCAUACAGAGGAGAAAUUAAAUAUUGACAUGUGGUACAACAUGAAUGAACCUUGAA